GAUUCUAAGUCAAUUUAUAUCUGAAUUUAUCUUAUUGUAAUGAAUCAUAAAUCAUUUUAGAUCUAAUCUAAAUAUAUUUAUGAUCAAAAUAAUUCAUAAAAAUCUGUUCGCUUUUCUUCUUCAUAAAAUCGGAUUACAAUGACACCCCUACACGUCAUAAGAGAACCCAUCGAAUAAAUAAAAAAAAAUUAAUUUCUUCGAUCUCUUAUGAUCGGACGGUCUAAUAAUCUCAUCAAUCCGAGUACUAGACUAUUGAUAAGUACAGAAAUAUAACAUAAAAAGUAUUAAAAUCUUUGAUAAUUAUUUUAUAUUAUAUAGAAUUUGAUGUUUUUUUAUAAUUAUUUUAAGAAUUAUGGAUCAAUUAGCAAUCCAAUAUCAAAUUCAAAAAAUUAAGAGGCUGAAGACAAUCACAUGAAAGGUAUGGGGAUCCAACGAUGGAGAUGGCGUGAAGACUCCUUUGGAUGGCUACAAGAUCAAGAUGUGCACGGGGUGCG
rnacentral:lncRNA from 1 species